GACGAACGCUGGCGGCGUGCCUAAUACAUGCAAGUCGAGCGGACAGAAGGGAGCUUGCUCCCGGAUGUUAGCGGCGGACGGGUGAGUAACACGUGGGUAACCUGCCUGUAAGACUGGGAUAACUCCGGGAAACCGGAGCUAAUACCGGAUAGUUCCUUGAACCGCAUGGUUCAAGGAUGAAAGACGGUUUCGGCUGUCACUUACAGAUGGACCCGCGGCGCAUUAGCUAGUUGGUGAGGUAACGGCUCACCAAGGCGACGAUGCGUAGCCGACCUGAGAGGGUGAUCGGCCACACGGGGACUGAGACACGGCCCAGACUCCUACGGGAGGCAGCAGUAGGGAAUCUUCCGCAAUGGACGAAAGUCUGACGGAGCAACGCCGCGUGAGUGAUGAAGGUUUUCGGAUCGUAAAGCUCUGUUGUUAGGGAAGAACAAGUGCAAGAGCAACUGCUUGCACCUUGACGGUACCUAACCAGAAAGCCACGGCUAACUACGUGCCAGCCGCCGCCGUAAUAC
rnacentral:rRNA from 1 species